rnacentral:rRNA from 1 species
UACGUAGGGGGCAAGCGUUGCCCGGAAUCAUUGGGCGUAAAGCGCGUGUAGGCGGCUCGAUAAGUCUGCUGUGAAAGUUCAGGGCUCAACCCCGAAAUGCCGGUGGAAACUGUCGAGCUAGAGUCCGGAAGAGGCGAGUGGAAUUCCUGGUGUAGCGGUGAAAUGCGCAGAUAUCAGGAGGAACACCGAUGGCGAAGGCAGGUCUCUGGGCCACUACUGACGCUGAGAAGCGAAAGCAUGGGGAGCGAACAGG